CCUACGGGUGGCUGCAGUGGGGAAUAUUGGACAAUGGGCGAAAGCCUGAUCCAGCCAUGCCGCGUAUGUGAAGAAGGCCUUCGGGUUGUAAAGCACUUUCAGUGGGGAAGAAAGCCUUGGGGCUAAUACCCUCGAGGAAGGACAUCACCCACAGAAGAAGCACCGGCUAACUCCGUGCCAGCAGCCGCGGUAAUACGGAGGGUGCGAGCGUUAAUCGGAAUUACUGGGCGUAAAGCGCGCGUAGGCGGUCUGAUAAGCCGGUUGUGAAAGCCCCGGGCUCAACCUGGGAACGGCAUCCGGAACUGUCAGGCUAGAGUGCAGGAGAGGAAGGUAGAAUUCCCGGUGUAGCGGUGAAAUGCGUAGAGAUCGGGAGGAAUACCAGUGGCGAAGGCGGCCUUCUGGACUGACACUGACGCUGAGGUGCGAAAGCGUGGGUAGCAAACAGGAUUAGAUACCCUAGUAGUC
rnacentral:rRNA from 1 species